rnacentral:misc_RNA from 1 species
UCAUAAUUUGUAGACAUUGC